CCUACGGGAGGCAGCAGUGGGGAAUAUUGGACAAUGGGGGCAACCCUGAUCCAGCCAUGCCGCGUGUGUGAAGAAGGCCCUCGGGUUGUAAAGCACUUUCAGUGAGGAAGAACGCCUGGUGGUUAAUACCCAUCAGGAAAGACAUCACUCACAGAAGAAGCACCGGCUAACUCCGUGCCAGCAGCCGCGGUAAUACGGAGGGUGCGAGCGUUAAUCGGAAUUACUGGGCGUAAAGCGCGCGUAGGUGGCUUGAUAAGCCGGUUGUGAAAGCCCCGGGCUCAACCUGGGAACGGCAUCCGGAACUGUGAAGCUAGAGUGCAGGAGAGGAAGGUAGAAUUCCCGGUGUAGCGGUGAAAUGCGUAGAGAUCGGGAGGAAUACCAGUGGCGAAGGCGGCCUUCUGGACUGACACUGACACUGAGGUGCGAAAGCGUGGGUAGCAAACAGGAUUAGAUACCCUUGUAGUC
rnacentral:rRNA from 1 species